UACGUAGGGUGCGAGCGUUAAUCGGAAUUACUGGGCGUAAAGCGUGCGCAGGCGGUCUCGUAAGCUGGGUGUGAAAGCCCCGGGCUUAACCUGGGAAUGGCAUUCAGGACUGCGAGGCUCGAGUGUGGCAGAGGGAGGUGGAAUUCCACGUGUAGCAGUGAAAUGCGUAGAGAUGUGGAGGAACACCGAUGGCGAAGGCGGCCUCCUGGGCCAGCACUGACGCUCAUGCACGAAAGCGUGGGGAGCAAACAGG
rnacentral:rRNA from 1 species